UAAUCCGAGAAUUUCACCUCUGGCCGCGGAAUAGCAGCACCCCCAACUGUCCCUAUCAAUCAUUGCUACGAUUCUAGAACCAACAAAAUAGAACACGAUAGCCCUAUGUUAUUAUUCCAUGCUAAAUUGUUCACGGCGUAAGCCUGCUUUGAACACUCCAAUUUUUUCAAAGUAAACGAUCCGGAUCGUGCACCUCGCCCAGUAAAGAGAAAGGACACCAACCGAAAGAUAGGCUAGCGCUUCCAGCACUCAACCCGAAGGCGGGCCGUCCGCACAAAGCCAGAUAUCCAACUACGAGCUUUUUAACUGCAACAACAUUAAUAUACGCUAUUGGAGCUGGAAUUACCG
rnacentral:misc_RNA from 1 species